rnacentral:tRNA from 2 species
CAGAACGUAGCUAAAAUCUUAAAGCACCUCCCUUACACCGAGAAGAUAUCCGUGAAAAUCGGAUCGCUCUGC